GAUGAACGCUGGCGGCGUGCUUAACACAUGCAAGUCGAACGAUGAAGCCCAGCUUGCUGGGUGGAUUAGUGGCGAACGGGUGAGUAACACGUGAGUAACCUGCCCUUGACUCUGGGAUAAGCCUGGGAAACUGGGUCUAAUACUGGAUAUGACUUCUCAUCGCAUGGUGGGGGGGGGAAAGAUUUAUUGGUCUUGGAUGGACUCGCGGCCUAUCAGCUUGUUGGUGAGGUAAUGGCUCACCAAGGCGACGACGGGUAGCCGGCCUGAGAGGGUGACCGGCCACACUGGGACUGAGACACGGCCCAGACUCCUACGGGAGGCAGCAGUGGGGAAUAUUGCACAAUGGGCGCAAGCCUGAUGCAGCGACGCCGCGUGAGGGAUGACGGCCUUCGGGUUGUAAACCUCUUUCAGUAGGGAAGAAGCGAGAGUGACGGUACCUGCAGAAGAAGCGCCGGCUAACUACGUG
rnacentral:rRNA from 1 species